CAUCAUUUAAAUUUAGAAAAGAUAUGUAUCAUGAAUGUAUCGAGCAAAGUAAGAAAUUCUGUAAUGUAGUCAGAUUUUUAGUUAUGUUUCAAAAAAUUUGAAGAAAGUUUCAAAUUCAAUAUUUAAUUUCAAGUUAAUUUUCAAGGAUAAUCAAGUAAAUCAAGUUUAUAAGAUUAGCAUAUGGAAGAACUCAAUAUCAUUUUUAGAUCUAUAAAUGAGUUUUAAGGUUGGACUUUGAAAUACAUUUCUUGGAG
rnacentral:lncRNA from 1 species